rnacentral:rRNA from 1 species
UUGGAGGGCAAGUCUGGUGCCAGCAGCCGCGGUAAUUCCAGCUCCAAUAGCGUAUAUUAAAGUUGUUGCAGUUAAAAAGCUCGUAGUUGAAUUUCGGGGUCAAUAGGUUGGUCGUGCCAAUGGUAUGUACUGGCUUUAUUGAUUCCUACCUCUUGACGAACUGUGAUGCCAUUAAUUUGGUGUUGCAGGAAAUCAGGACUGUUACCUUGAAAAAAUUAGAGUGUUUAAAGCAGGCUUACGCUUGAAUACAUUAGCAUGGAAUAAUGAAAUAGGACGUUUGAACCUAUUUUGUUGGUUUCUAGGAUCGACGUAAUGAUUAAUAGGGAUAGUUGGGGGCAUUAGUAUUCAAUUGUCAGAGGUGAAAUUCUUGGAUUUAUUGAAGACUAACUACUGCGAAAGCAUUUGCCAAGGAUGUUUUCAUUAAUCAAGAACGAAAGUUAGGGGAUCGAAGACGAUCAGAUACCGUCGUAGUCUUAACCAUAAACUAUGCCGACUAGGGAUCGGAUGAUGUUAAUUUUUUAAUGACUCAUUCGGCGCCUUACGGGAAACCAAAGUGUUUGGGUUC